ACCAUCUUUUCGAUACUCUUCUUUAUGCGUUUUCGAUUCUACGACAGAUUGUGAAUUUUUGAUUAAUUUAUCUUUGUUCGGUUACUUUGAUCGUGCUUUGAUGUGUUCUUUGAAGUGUUAAAGUGAAAGUACAUUAAAAUUCUCAAGUUGCUCUUAGAAGAAUAAUUUUGUGGUGGAAGCUGAGAUGAGAAUGAAAGUCACUGUUGGAUGAUUACCCUUACCAUGGUCUUCAAAUGACGAUGGGAAAUCUGAUGAUAAAUCAUCCAUCUACAAGGAAACGAGGUUUUGGCGUUUCGCUAAAAGAUAAUCCCAGCUGCCUGGAAACGUGCUGGAAUCCCGAUAAACCGAGCCUCUUCUCUACACGUUCGCUCACGGGCGAUUGUUAAAAGCUUUUUUUUUUCCCUCCCCCCCUUCGAGAUGAGGGGUCGAUAGCCCGCGGAUGGCUGCACGAAUCAACGCUUAACCCUCGAUUUUUUUUUUUUUCGGUUUCUAAGGGCCCGAUGAAACCCUCGGCCGAUCCGCCUCUGGAAACAUCAUUGUAGGAACAGCAUUGUAACCGGCCAUUCGAAAGAAGCGUGAUCACGCUCUAUUCAUCCUAUAUAUAUAUAUACGCUAUUCCAUCUAUUUUCAAUUAAUCUCCAAGAAGAAGGUUAGAAUUUAAUUUUUUCCUCUCUUUCUUUUUUUUCAGAAGAUUAAAAUAAACGAAGGAAAUGGAAAGAAGAAGAAGAAAAAAAAAAGGAAAGGAGAAGAACAAUGGCGCGCAAAAUGAGUUGACUCUUAUCGCACCGUCGUCGUCGUCGUCGUCGUCGUCGUCGUCAUUUGGGAGGGAUCGAAUGAGUCGCGCGAGUAUUUCAUCGAUUCCCCAGGAUUCUCCGCCAAUAGUUCCCCCGUUUACGAGCGUGAAAUGGUAGCCGAUGGCGAAGAAUAAAAGCUACGCGCCGGAUAAUGACAGGAUUUGGCUAGGCGAUAACUGGGAGAAGGAAAGAAUUAUAGGCCUGCGAGAGUGCCUCGUAAGCAUCGGACCACGCAGUUUUAACGGCGAUUCAACCGUUUCCCUCGGCCACCUUUUCUUCCUUCGUUACUUUGUGAUUUCAACGGCGGUGCGAGGCAACGGAUACUUUGUUUCCCGGGAGAAUAUCUCCUGUAGAUGAUAUUGGAAACGGCGAGGGGAGGAUUUGUUCGUUGGAUUCGAGCCAAAAGUCAUGGAAUCGAGUCUGGAAGAUGUUGGAUGCAUGUUGGAUUUGUUUUUGUAACAAUACAUUUGAAAAUGCACUGCAAAAUGUAUUUUAAUUGAUUGAAUUAUAAAAAGCAGUGUCAGUUUUAAUCUGUCACUGGAUCAUUUAAAUAUAUAAUUUCUGUAAAUUUAACAAGCAGAGAGAGAAAAGAAAAAAGUCAAGUUUAACAAUUUA